rnacentral:rRNA from 1 species
AUUGAACGCUGGCGGCAUGCCUUACGCAUGCAAGUCGAACGGCAGCACGGAGCUUGCUCUGGUGGCGAGUGGCGAACGGGUGAGUAAUAUAUCGGAACGUACCCAAGAGUGGGGGAUAACGUAGCGAAAGUUACGCUAAUACCGCAUACGAUCUAUGGAUGAAAGCAGGGGACCGCAAGGCCUUGUGCUCCUGGAGCGGCCGAUAUCUGAUUAGCUAGUUGGUGGGGUAAAGGCCCACCAAGGCAACGAUCAGUAGCUGGUCUGAGAGGACGACCAGCCACACUGGAACUGAGACACGGUCCAGACUCCUACGGGAGGCAGCAGUGGGGAAUUUUGGACAAUGGGGGCAACCCUGAUCCAGCAAUGCCGCGUGAGUGAAGAAGGCCCUCGGGUUGUAAAGCUCUUUUGUCAGGGAAGAAAAGGUUGCGGCUAAUAUCCGCGGCUCAUGACGGUACCUGAAGAAUAAGCACCGGCUAACUACGUGCCAGCAGCCGCGGUAAUACGUAGGGUGCAAGCGUUAAUCGGAAUUACUGGGCGUAAAGCGUGCGCAGGCGGUUUUGUAAGACUGUCGUGAAAUCCCCGGGCUCAACCUGGGAAUGGCGAUGGUGACUGCAAGGCUAGAGUUUGGCAGAGGGGGGUAGAAUUCCGCGUGUAGCAGUGAAAUGCGUAGAUAUGUGGAGGAACACCGAUGGCGAAGGCAGCCCCCUGGGUCAAAACUGACGCUCAUGCACGAAAGCGUGGGGAGCAAACAGGAUUAGAUACCCUGGUAGUCCACGCCCUAAACGAUGUCUACUAGUUGUCGGGUCUUAAUUGACUUGGUAACGCAGCUAACGCGUGAAGUAGACCGCCUGGGGAGUACGGUCGCAAGAUUA